rnacentral:lncRNA from 1 species
UUUUUACAGUUUUAUCAUUAUACUCUCUUUUGUCUGAAAACUAGAACAACCAAACACCUACUUGCAGUCACCUUAUUCAUAUAUUUUCUUUUCUUUUUCUUUUUCUUUUAUAGAUGACAUAUAUACAAGAAUGCAUCUCAUCAACCAACACCAAUUCACCAUUGUUACUCAUGCUCCCUUUUUAAUAAUAACUUCCCCCACACUUGAAUCAUACUACUGACCAUGGAAACCUUACUUUCCC